GACAGUGAAAUGGCCCCCUGUUUAAAAAGUUUGAGGACCCCUGCACUAGACAAACUGGCCAGUAUGACAACCAAAAGUGUCUCUGGAUAAAACAAUUAGUGUUGUAAAAGUAGUGUCUAAAAAGAUUUUGCCAUAAGAAGAAAAAUUAGAAACUUCACAAUGAAGAUAAAAAAGACCAUAAGCCUUCUAUUUUAAUUACACAGAAUCUUUGCUAAUAUUUUCAGUUAAAAAUCUAUCAUUUUAUUUUUCCUACGUAUCCAUUGUUUCUUUCAUUAACUAAGCAGUAUAAUCUAAUCAUAGAUUGUUUUGUCACUGUUUUAAGCACCUAAUUGUGAAUUAUUCAGUCAUUUAUGAUACUCGAAAAGCCAUCCUCCUUCUUUACUUAUAGCUCUAGAGAAAUAUGCAUGUAUUUUAUGAUUUUUUAAUUUUAAAUAUAUCGCAUUUAUUGCAUAUUUAUUAUGGACUAGGAAAUAUGCUAAGUAGUUUACUCCUGUUAUUACAUUUAUUAAGUCCUCUUAUUUCCUCGGAUAUUCCUUUGGAAUGCAACUGAAGUCCUGAAAUGAAUUAUCUUUGAUAAGAUCUCAAAGUUCUUAAUGUCAGAACACAGGUCUGAAACAGGGCUGGUACUGUUUAAGAGUUGGCUGCGUCUCUGCCUUGAAUUUGACUGAUUGUGCACUCAUGUUCCCUGCUAGAACAGCGAGCUCAAUGAAUACAGGAAUGAUGGAUCUUCUUAAUCAGCUAUGUGGUCUCGGCCUCUCUCACCACCCCAAGAAGCUUGCGUACAGCCCCUGCUGAACUGAACUAAUUUUUUGUAGCCAGGAAUUACUUUGUCUCUUUUGGUCUCCAGACCCAGAAAUAAUGUUUUCUUUUUUUUAAUUUUAGCUUCCUCACUUUUACACACUGGAGUUAAGAGACAGAAAUCACUAGGUUUUGACAGCACAGCUUGGUUAAGUUGUAAUUUUAAUUUUGUGGUGCUCCCUACUGUUGGCCUUUUUCUUCCAUGCUACAAUUCUUGCUGUUUUUUAAUAAACUCACCUUGGUCUGCUGCUCAUUUAAUCAGCACAUAUGGAAAACACCAGGAAUCUUAUUUUCAAAACUCUACUUCUCUUGGAGAAAAUUUAAAUAACCUUGCUGAAAUCAUCAGUUGGAAGCACUGAGUCCCUGGGGGAAAUGCGCUGUAAGGGUCUCACCUUACUGCUCUGGCUGGUCUUGAACUCCUUGCCUCAAGAGAUCAUCUGGAAUAUGUGGUACCAUAGGAGUGUGCCACCACCUCCCCUGACUCCCCAACAUAUCCCUUCUUUUGUAAUUGAAGGGAGAUUCCGUUUAGCCCUGUGACUUCUGUGAAGGAGGGAAGAAGAUGAGACUUGGACUUGAAGUAUUGAUGUAUGCAGUUUCUGGGGAGGUAGGAAGAUUGGAUUUCAAACUGAGCCACUCUGACAUCUUUUUUCCAGAGAGCAAUAGCAGAACAGGACACUCUUAGCCUUGGGCUCCAUUACUGUUUGUGUUCCCCCCAAAUUCUUAUCUCUAAGAUUAUUGUAUUAGUAGGUAGGGCCUUAGGAAGGUAAUUAGGUUUACAUGAGGUCAUGAGGGUGGAACCCUCAUAAUUGGAUUAGUGCUCUUUUAGAAAGAGGAAGAAAUACAAGAGCUUCUCUCUCCAUCAUAUGAAGAUUCAGCAAGAAGAUGGUCGUCCGCACGCCAGAAAAAGGUCCCUUAUCAAGAACUGAAUGUACCAGCACCUUGAUCUUGGAAUUCCAACCUGAAAAACUGUGAAAUAAAUGUCUAUUACUUAA